UGGGGAAUAUUGCACAAUGGAGGAAACUCUGAUGCAGCGAUGCCGCGUGAGGGAAGAAGGUUUUAGGAUUGUAAACCUCUGUCUUUGGGGACGAUAAUGACGGUACCCAAGGAGGAAGCUCCGGCUAACUACGUGCCAGCAGCCGCGGUAAUACGUAGGGAGCGAGCGUUGUCCGGAAUUACUGGGUGUAAAGGGAGUGUAGGCGGGACUGUAAGUCAGAUGUGAAAACUAUGGGCUCAACCCAUAGACUGCAUUUGAAACUGCGGUUCUUGAGUGAAGUAGAGGUAAGCGGAAUUCCUAGUGUAGCGGUGAAAUGCGUAGAUAUUAGGAGGAACAUCAGUGGCGAAGGCGGCUUACUGGGGCUU
rnacentral:rRNA from 1 species